GACGAACGCUGGCGGCGUGCCUAAUACAUGCAAGUCGAGCGAGCGGCGGACGGGUGCGUAAUGUAUGGGGACUGCCCGAUAGAGGGGGAUAACUACUGGCAACGGUGGCUAAUACCGCAUACUAUCGGAUAACCCAUAUGGGAUUAGCUAGUAGGGGGGGUAAAGGCUAACCUAGGCGACGAUCUCUAGCUGGUCUGAGAGGAUGAUCAGACACACUGGGACUGAGACACGGCCCAGACUCCUACGGAGGCAGCAGUGUGGAAUAUUGCACAAUGGGCGCAAGCCUGAUGCAGCCAUGCCGCGUGUAUGAAGAAGGCCUUAGGGUUGUAAAGUACUUUCAGCGGGGAGGCGUUACCCGCAGAAGAAGCACCGGCUAACUCCGUGCCAGCCGCCGCGGUAAUUC
rnacentral:rRNA from 1 species